ACGUCUCUUGAAAGGUCUCUACCUAACCACGGAAGCCCUUGAGACUGUGUCCACGACGUACCGACAGCAGUCGAGCACAGCACUCUACAACCCAAUUCAGGGCAUUGCUCGCGUUGGGAACAGGAAUCAAUGGUCGUGCAAUACCACCCGUGAGAUUCCUCUGACGGCCACUGUUUGGCNUCCUUCCACCCCUACUGCAGUUCAGUAUUACCGGGAAUGCCGANCCCGAUGUGUGCACGAUGUUACCAGCCAUGUCUCCCAACGGGUUCGGCGCUCCACCUCGAUUAGGGUGUUUUGGCUAGCAUCAGGCCUAGCGUCAGACGUUGAGCUGACGCACUUCAGCCUUAGCGAUCAUUAGCGMUUAGUCUUACAGCGCCACUUAUGCAAGGGCCCGGAACAUGUGUGGCGGGCAGUGUGGUAACCCUCAACYCAACGUGGUCUUCAUCGAUCAGAUUGGAAGCCCUCCUGCCAAUGGUGCCACACUAAGUACUGAMCCCACUUCAGCAUUGUUCCAUCGGCAUCCCCUNUGUCGUUCUAUAAUCGAAUGACGGGAAGGAGGGUUGAAUUUCACGAAAUGUUAGGCUUCUNGAAGAAGUGUGUGCGCCGUACCGACCUAGUCCGAAAGCGGGUAACAGGUUAUAAGGGGUGACGACGGAGGGCAUCUCCAGACCUGGCACAGAGUCAAGGUCACACUGACUAGUAGGAGAGUCUGGUCAAUGCCUAGCAGCGGAACCACUCGGUAAUGGAGUGGUUGAUCGAUUAGGCUGGAUCCGAGUAGACUAUCGCGUUCCGGGCUUCAGGGGNACGAAAGAGGCCAUCCUGCAUACGCCAUAAUCGCAGGGAAAGCUUUGCAAUAGGGGGUGAUGGUCCGUCUAAGGAUCCGUAAUGAGUGGGCAGGCGGCGAUUUAGGCACUCGUUCGAGUGAAGUAGGCGAGCUGAACGUACACAAUCCGGACGNAAAGGACACAUCGCCACUUUACGCNNCUAUAUCCUUCCUUGUGGUCACCGCUUCCGCUGGUGGACCUGACUAUGACUGUGACUCCACGCUUUCAAACCCUCGUUUGUCCUAAUCUAUGGGACCAUCAGGUGCGGCAUUUGCUACAGUUGAUCGGCAACCCCAGGAACUCUGAAAUCACCGCGUCAAUNGCGUNAAUUCAACUGGCGGAACCCCUCNAGGCCGGCGGUCCAAAUUUUUGAAGNUUUACCUUAACUGCCCCCCCGNAGGUAGAGACCUUUCAAGAGACGUACAGUUCCGGACCAUUCUAAGAAGCGCAACGAAGCUUAAUUUGGUGUACGAGGUGGCGAACACGCCNNGGGGCNAGUUAAGUAAACUCNAAAUUGGAACGCCGGCAUGAGGGGU
rnacentral:rRNA from 1 species